rnacentral:rRNA from 1 species
GAGGCUAAUGCCUGAUAAAAGAUUUACCCUGGAAUGAUUUAUCUUUGAAAUUCGUGCCUUAGGAUGGGACUGCGGCUGAUUAGGUUGUUGGCGGGGUAAAUGCCCACCAAGCCUGUGAUCAGUAAGGGCUCUUAGCGGAGAGGCCCUGAGAGGGAAUCUGAGACACUAUUCCCAGCCCUACGGGGUGCAGCAGUUAGGAAUCUUUUGCAAUGCGCGCAAGCGUGACAAAGCGAGCCAGAGUGUUACUCAUAUUAGAGUGACUUUUGUGUACUGUAAAAAGGUGCACGAAUAAGGACUGGGUAAGACUGGUGCCAGCCGCCGCGGUAAUCCCAGCGGUCCAAGUUGCAGCCAACUUUAUUGGGUAUAAAACAUCCGUAGCUUGCUAAAUAAGUUUUCUGUGAAAUCUCUUAUCUUAAGUAAGAGGCGCGCAGAAAGUACUGUUUGGCUAGAGACUGGAAGGCGUAAAGAGUAUGAUCAAAGUAGUGGUAAAAUACGUUAAUCUUGAUCAGACUAACAACAGCGAAGGCACUUUACGAAGACAGUUCUGACAGUGAGGGAUGAAAGCUAGGGGCGCAAAAAGGAUUAGAUACCCUUGUAGUCCUAGCAGUAAACACUGCACACU